CCAAUUAUUAAAGAAAGAUGAGUAAGAAUAUUGUUGGUGUUCUUAACUCAAGAGAAAUGUUUUUAAUUAUUUAUUCAUUAAAAACCCGGCUAAGUGAAUCAUAGAAUGUUAAGCACUACACCAUGACUUAAGAUUAGAUUCAAGGAGACCUAUUAAGAAUAGAAUUUCUUGUAGGCUUUGUGGACCAAGGGGAUUAGCACUGUUUUCCCAAGACAGGUUAUGUGAUUAUGAUCUUCAGGCUUUGCCUAUCCAGGUGGGCAUUAUUUUAUUAUUACGUAUUUAGAGAUCCCCUGCGUGUCGUAGGCCUCUUAUACGAAUAUAUGCAUGAGAUGAUUUUAACUGUUAAUUUCAGUUUAUUAUUAUGCCCAAAUGAUAAAUGACUCUUAUGAAAUGAAAAUGAAAUGUUCAUGAAAUGAAAUGAAAUGUUUAUGAAAUGAUUGACUGCCAAAAAUGUUUAUGUUUUUAUAUGUAUCCUAUCUGUGUUGGUUCGCCAACUUUAAAGGAAAUCCAAUUGGGAUCCUAUGCUAGACAAAGGUCGCUAGCUAGGGUUAACGUGUACACUUAUGGAGACCGCGAGUCGCUUGCGACCGGUCUUGGCGUCCGUGGUAAGGAGGCCUCCUUCCCGGCGCGUGACAGAAAGGACAGAUAUGGAUCAUAUGAAGGAAAUGAUCGGCCGAUCGACUUUAUGAAAAUGAAAGAAAUAGUUUUAGUAAGCGCAGGUCAUUCAAGAAAACCCCUGUGUGUUACUGUUAUGGCAGUUCAAUUUAUAUAUGUAUGCAUGUUGUAUUUUCGGCUAUGCCCACUGAGUAUUUUUAUACUCAGCCCUGCAUGUAUUUCUAAAUGUGCAGGUUGAGCAGUUGAUGGAAUGGAAUGAUGUUGAGCGGGUGUUCCUUUGACAUUUCAAGAAA
rnacentral:lncRNA from 1 species